rnacentral:rRNA from 1 species
UACGUAGGGGGCAAGCGUUGUCCGGAUUUAUUGGGCGUAAAGAGCGUGUAGGCGGCCAAAUAGGUCUGCUGUGAAAACUCGAGGCUCAACCUCGAGAUGUCGGCGGAAACCAUUUGGCUAGAGUCCGGAAGAGGAAAGUGGAAUUCCUGGUGUAGCGGUGAAAUGCGCAGAUAUCAGGAAGAACACCCGUGGCGAAGGCGGCUUUCUGGUACGUGACUGACGCUGAGACGCGAAAGCGUGGGGAGCGAACAGG